AUUGAACGCUGGCGGCAGGCCUAACACAUGCAAGUCGAGCGAGCGGCGGACGGGUGAGUAAUAUCUGGGAAACUGCCUGAUUGCGGGGGAUAACUACUGGAAACGGUAGCUAAUACUGCAUCCCAUCAGAUGUGCCCAGAUGGGAUUAGCUAGUGGGUGGGGUAACGGCUCACCUAGGCGACGUGCCCUAGCUGGUCUGCGAGGAUGACCAGCCACACUGGAACUGGGCCACGGUCCAGAUUCCACGGGGAGGCAGAAGGGGGGAAUAUUGCACAAUGGGCGCAAGCCGGAUGAAGCAAGGCGGGGUGUGUGAAGAAGGCCUCCGGGUUGUAAAGCACGUUGAGCGGGGAGGCGUUACCCGAAGAAGAAGCACCGGCUAACUCCGUGCCAGCAGCCGCGGUAAUUC
rnacentral:rRNA from 1 species